UACGUAGGGUGCGAGCGUUACUCGGAAUUACUGGGCGUAAAGCGUGCGCAGGCGGUUUUGUAAGCCAGAUGUGAAAUCCCCGGGCUUAACCUGGGAAUGGCAUUUGGGACUGCAAGGCUGGAGUGUGGCAGAGGAGACUGGAAUUCCUGGUGUAGCAGUGAAAUGCGUAGAUAUCAGGAGGAAUACCGAUGGCGAAGGCAGGUCUCUGGGCUAACACUGACGCUCAUGCACGAAAGCGUGGGAAGCAAACAGG
rnacentral:rRNA from 1 species